rnacentral:lncRNA from 1 species
GGUAAGACAGGGAGAAACUGAAGAAGGGAGAGGAAGAUGGUAGGUGUCUGCAGACAUCAACCUCAGAUUCUAUCCGUGUAAUGAGCUAGGUGUCAGGCUAGGGAAAGGGAAAGUGUGCAGAUGGUGUGUGUGGAAGGGUGCAUGUGAGAGAAGUUCUUGUGUAUGUGGGAUACGUGUGUUCGGAUGUCCAUGUGUUAUGGAAUAAUGAAAUGUACACUUAUGCCAUUAAAAUUUUUAUUAUUUAAAUAUUACCAUACGAUAAAUUAACUCUCCUCUUUCGGUGUGAAGUUCUAUGAAUUUUAACGUGUGUGGAUACAUGAAAUUACCACUAUGAUCAGAAGACAGAGGAGUUCUGUCACUUCCCAAAUCCCUCCGAGCUAUCUCUGUAUAGUUGCCUGCCCUGCACACCCCACGUACACACACCCCCUGCCAAGGGCCUAUUCAUUCUGUGUCCUACAGUUUUCUCUUUCUGAGAACGGCAUACAAAUGGAAUCAUACAGUGUGUAACCUUUGACAACUGGAUUCUGAAAAGCAUGAUGCUUUGUAAUUUUUCCACAGUUGUGAUACUUGUUUAUUUAAAUUAAUGCAUAUUAUUCCACAGGAUGGAUGUACUGAAGUGUAUUUACUCAUUAAAGGAUAUUUAUUUUUCCCAAUUCUGAAUAGAUCUGCUGUCAACAUUAAUGCAAGGAUUGUUUGUGUGAACAUAAACAUUUCUUUAGGGUAAAUACCUGUACCCAGGAGUGGGACUGUUGAAUCAUGUAGUAAGUGUAUUUUAAUUUUACAAGGAAGUGGCAAACUUUUUUUCAGUGAUGGGGAUUGAACCCAGCUUCUGGCACAUACUAGGCAAGUCUUCUACCACUGAGCUAAACCCCCAGCCAAGUGGCAAACUAUUUUUAAGAGUGGCUGUGCUCUUAUCUGUUCUUCUCAUGAACAAAUGAGCAUUCCAAUUGCUUCACAUCCUUGUCAAGCACUUGGUAUUGUCAGUAGUUAAACAUUUCUAGACACUCUAAUCAGUGUGUAAUCAGAUCUCAGCAUAGUUUUCACUGGCAUUUUCCUAAAGGCUAUGAUGUUGAAUAACAAUAAUAAUUAAUAUAAUCGCCAUCAUUAUCAUUAGGUACUAGGAGUGCUUUAUCACCAAGCUACACCCCCAGUCUUUUAGUCUUUUCUAUUUUUUUCUUUUGAGACUCGCUAAAUUGUUUAAGGCCUUACUACGUUGCUGAGGCUGGCCUCGAACUUGUAAUACUCCUGCUCCAGCCUCCCAAUCGCUGGAAUUAAAGCAUGUAUCUCCACACCCAGUGACACUUUCUAAUGUGCUAAAUUGCCAUCACUUGGUGAAGCAUUUGCUUUUUCUUUUGCCCUGUGUUCAGAUUUAGAUAUUUUGUUAUUGUUGAGUAUUGAGAGUUCUUAAUAUAUUCCAGAUGCAAGUAUUAUGAGAUACGUGAUUUGCAAAUAUUUUCUCCAGGUCUGUACCUUGUGUUUUCGUUCUCCUAAUGGUGUAUUUUGAAGCUAAUUAAUUUGGGUGAAGUACAAUUUAUAAUUCCUUUUUUUUUUUAUUGUGCUUUUGGUGUCAUAGUAAAAACUCUUUGCCUAACUCCAGGUGAAAUUAAGACUUUUUUUUGUAUGUUUUCUUCUGGGGUCUCAUAGUUUUUGUUUGUUUUAAAUUUAUAUUUAUGGUCUAUUUACUUUUGUUUAACUUUUUUUGUUUUUUGCAUAUGGAAAUUAAACAGUUGAAAUAAAAUUUGUUGAAAAUAUUUUCUUCAUUGAAUUGCCUUUACACCUUUGUAAAAAGUCAAUUGUCCAACUUUGUGUGGAUAUAUUUUUGGACUCUUAUUUUGUUUCAUUGAUCAUUGAUCUUUGCAAUACAACAUUAUCUUGAUUACUGUAGCUACACAUGAGUAAGAGUGGACAUUCUUUAUUUCUCUCAAUUUCUGGGGAAAGCAUUUGAUCUUUCACUAUCAAGGGUAACGUUAACUGUAGAUUUUGAAGAUACUUUUUAUCAGGUUGAGGUAAUUUCUAAGUUUUCUGAGAGUUUUUAUUUUGAGUGGAUGUUUGCUUUGUGAAAUAGUUUUUCUAAGUUUAUGGACAAACACAACUUAGAUUUAUUUUGUGGUGGAAAACUAGAAUCUAAAUGUAUAAAUAAUGACACUUUAUGAAAUAUUAUGUGGACAUUAAAUUCAUGCUUUAGAAGAGUAUUUAAUGCUGUGGAAGAUACUCAAGUACAUUAAAUAAUAAAGGUAUGCUAAAAACAGUAUUCAUAGUUCCAACUAUAUUUUAAAAAAAUACUAUACAUAGAAAAAAAAAAGAAGCUUAAGGGUAUAGGACCAAAAUGCUAAUGGUAAUAUCUUUGGAUACUAUAACUAGAUGUGGGCUUUGUCUUCUUUAUAUGUCCCUGUAUAUUUA